rfam:Capsicum annuum cultivar Zunla-1 unplaced genomic scaffold scaffold1741, whole genome shotgun sequence
AGAUCCAUGGCACAGUGGUAGUGUGUCUGAUUCUAGAUCAGAAUGUUGUGCAUUCAAUUCAUGUUGAAUUCA